GUUCGCUUCAACAGUCCAUAUGCUGAAAUUGGAAUGAUACAGAGAUUAGCAUGGCCCCUGCCCAAGGCUGCCAUGCAAAUUUAUAAAGCAAUCACAUGAAAA